UAGGGAAUCUUCCGCAAUGGGCGAAAGCCUGACGGAGCAAUGCCGCGUGAUUGAAGAAGGCCUACGGGUCGUAAAACUCUGUUAUAAGAGAAGAACAAAUUGUAGAGUAACUGCUACAGUCUUGACGGUAUCUUAUCAGAAAGCCACGGCUAACUACGUGCCAGCAGCCGCGGUAAUACGUAGGUGGCAAGCGUUGUCCGGAUUUAUUGGGCGUAAAGGGAGCGCAGGUGGUUUCUUAAGUCUGAUGUGAAAGCCCACGGCUUAACCGUGGAGGGUCAUUGGAAACUGGGAAACUUGAGUACAGAAGAGGAAUGUGGAACUCCAUGUGUAGCGGUGGAAUGCGUAGAUAUAUGGAAGAACGCCAGUGGCGAAGGCGACAUUCUGGUCUGUUACUGACACUGAGGCUCGAAAGCGUGGGGAGCAAACAGG
rnacentral:rRNA from 1 species